rnacentral:lncRNA from 1 species
UGUGUUGUCUAUGUUUAUUCAAAGCAUCAAAUCCUGAACUAAAUGAAAUUAUCACAUGUAUGAUCUGUAUAAAAAUACAUUACUUGUAGAUUAUUUCACGUAAGUGUUACUAUCACAGACAAUUCAAAUGCAAUCUGAUUAAAAUAAACAUUCUGUAUCCUUGCUUUUGCCUGUCUGAAAAUAGUGGAAGAUGUAUAUCAUUACAACAAAACCAGAGGAUCUUGAAAGGUCUUGAACAGAUAUAAAAUAGUGGAAGAUGUGUAUCAUUACAACAAAACCAGAGGAUCUUGAAAGGUCUUGAACAGAUAUAAAAUAGUGGAAGAUGUGUAUCAUUACAACAAAACCAGAGGAUCUUGAAAGGUCUUGAACAGAUAUAAAAUGCUAAGAUCCUUGUGAGUAAAGCAUAGACACGGAAUAUGCUGUAAUAUCAGAUUGAUAUGAAUGUCUUGUCUGAUGCAAAAUCAUCAUCAAGUGUAUUGUAAUUAGUUAUCAAAAGUACCAGGAUAACAAUUUAAAAAUGCCAGUGUCUACAUAAGACUAGUCAGUGACACACACUGGAUCACUCAGAUCAAAAUAGUUAUUGAGUUAAACAAAUACGAAGUUGACGAGCAUUGAGGACAUAAAAUUUCAAAAUGUUGUACUAAAUAAGGUAAUCUAUGCAUAGAAUAAGAAAAUCUUUAGUAUUUUGAAAAAAUCAUACUUUUUGUAACCUAUAAUCUAUGCGUAGAAUAAGAAAAUCUUUAGUAUUUUGAAAAAAUCAUACUUUUUGUAACACCUAUUCUGUAAUGCUUUAUUGAAAGUGCAGAAUAUUAUUAAUAAAUUUUCACCCUAUAAAUAAAAAC